CUGGAGUUAAAAGGUGGGGCUCAAUUAGGGUUUUUCUCUGCCCUGUUCUGAGAGAGAAAAAGGAAAGCCACUAAGGUUGGAUUGAAAACAUUUCAGUUUCACUGCAUGCAACCUUUGUUGUUUGACAGAAGGAUUUCAUUGCUGGACACUUAAGGUUUUUACCACAAGGAGGCAAGUUCCCUGAUAGCCAGGACUGGCUACAAGCUACUGACCUAAAGUGUUUGGGGAGUGAGUUGCACCGGCUUCCAAGAAGAAAGCACAGGCAAUCUCCAAACGACUGUGACUAUUAAUGGGGGUGUAAGUUAGCGAUAGAGGUGAAGAAAAGAUAAUGCCUUUCCUGUGAAGUGGAAUAUAUUCAGCUCUGAGGCGCCUCUGAGGAAGCUGACAACACACAGCGAAACGCGUUAGGCACAGUUUGGGGGACACAACAACCCAGAAGCAAGGCACCACGAGGGAGUCUGGAGUGAGCUGACAGGACCACCCCUGGGAACCCCACACAAAGUUUUUAUUGGACUCAAUGCGCAAAACCCAUCAGG